rnacentral:rRNA from 1 species
GACGAGGGGUCCAAGCGUUGUUCGGAAUUACUGGGCGUAAAGCGCGCGUAGGCGGCUUUGCAAGUCGGGUGUGAAAUCCCCAGGCUUAACCUGGGAACUGCAUUCGAGACUGCAUUGCUAGAGUAUGGGAGAGGGAAGUGGAAUUUCCGGUGUAGCGGUGAAAUGCGUAGAUAUCGGAAGGAACAUCAGUGGCGAAAGCGACUUCCUGGACCAAUACUGACGCUCAUGUGCGAAAGCGUGGGGAGCAAACAGG